rnacentral:sRNA from 1 species
CGUUAGCCCCGAUAGAAGCGGCAUCCUUUAUGUUUUUCCUUUAAAAACAUAAAGAUACAGCGGAUAGCGGGAACAAUG